UUGUUUUGAGAUCCUGUUGUGUUUGAUGCCUUCCAAAGCCUCAUGCAGGAGUAAGGCCAUGGCAGCAGAGUGUCGGUGCAUGGUGUAGGUGCCCAGCAGUGUGUGCCACUGGCUUCAGACCCAUUGCACAAAGCGUCAGCCAAUUCUCUACCAGCCUCACUGGAAACUUGUAAAGCUACUGCAACAUUUUCCACACUUUGUAGUACCCAGCUUCAGAGUUUGUCAGGACCAAAGCAGCUGUGCGAAUGUGUCGUCGUUCCUGAUUUGGCACUUCUGAUGUCGGAAGCGCGUUCGGACUCCUAAUCUGAAGAAAGUCAGGGAAAUUUGCGUCGCUGUGUCAACAAGAUCCUGCAGUUCAUCAUCUGUCCAAGAAGAGGACAGCAAAGCUGAGCAAGGUCAGAGAAUGGAGCCCUCCAAGGAAGGUCCUUGCAGGUCUGCGGAGACACAGAUGGAGCUGGACCAACAAGCAAGGCAGUCGCUCUGUAGGUUCAUGCAGAAGACGACCCUGGAAGGUGAA